UGGGUGAGAAACAAAAUUUUUCCUUUACAUUUAAAUUUUUAAUUUCUUUAGUGUGGAUAAAAGAAGAAGCUGUUUGCUGAAUGGAGCUCUGGGUCAUGACAUGUCCAUCAGCUGUAUCCUCCUUUUUUACCUCAUCCUUCUGCUGGAAGAUGGAAACCAGUUAGAGUAUCCAUGAGUACUAGACUUCAGUGUUGUACAGUACUUCAUUCUGAGACUCUUGUGACGACCCCGGAUCGCACCUUGGGGAGAACCGUCCCCUGACUCAGAACUAGAGAAGGAGCCACACAGACAAGAACAUGUUAACUAGUGCAGACUGAUCAGUUUCUAAGCAUCAACAUGACCAUCAACCCCACUCGAAUGACCAGAAAAACUGACUUCAUUGUCUCUUAAUACAAUGAAAUAUAGAAAGAUUAUUCAAUUAAAGAAAUACAUUUGCCAAUUUGUGACUUGCCGAUUAAAGUCAAGUAAAGGAAGUAAAUAGGUCAAUAAAGAGAUGACUAGUAUAUCAAACAUGUAUUAAAGUAUAACAAAUUAAAAAAUACAAACACAUAGAGACUUUCUGAGCGUUAUUUCAGAUAAUGAACAAUCUUACCAAUCAGUCCUUUCCAUUUGUGUGAACUCAUUCACAUGGAUCAGGGCAGCUCCUUUACUGCCUGCUGACAAGAGGCAACAUAUAAAGACACAGUUCUGAUAUGAGAAGCUGUUUAAAAAGGACACUCCAGCACUGGAUGGCACUUUAAUGCAAACCAAAAUCUGUAUGUCAACUGAUACCAGCAGUCUGCUGUAAUGCUGUGGUCCCUACAUCCAUGUCUUACCUGUGUAAUAUAAAAUAGUGCAGCCCACCUACUGCCAUCUUGUGGUGUUAAAGGGUAAAGACAUGAUUAUGAGGAACAUCCAUUGUUACAACGUGAGCCAAUUUUAGCAACAUUUGAUUCAGCGACCCUGCUGAAAUCUGAUUGAAUUUGAAAAACCUCUCCUCUAGUUAAUAUUGAUCUGUUAAUUAACACCUUUACAGCUCUGGAAAUGACCAAUAAAUGCAGCGUCGGGUAAAGGAACAAUGGACCACUAGUGCUUGUGUGUAUAUGCCCCUCUAGUGGCAUAGGAGGGGAAAUGUCCACCGCUCCCCACCCACCCCAUUCAUAGUGUGUGUGUGUGUGUGUGUGUGUCUGAGGUGAUUGUGAUGCAGUAAGCCAAAAC